rnacentral:lncRNA from 1 species
CCACCUCCUCCACCUCCUUUGCCUCCUUCGCCACCACCUGCUACACCACCGCCGCCACCACCUCCACUUUCUCCAGCUUCACCACCUCCGCCCCCACCUCCCCCACUGCCAUCUGGACCACCUCCUCAGCCUGCUCCACCACCUCCUCAGCCUGCUCCACCACCUCUGCCAACCCAGGCCCCACCUCUUCCUUCUAUUCCGCCGCCUGUUCCUUCAUCUCCGUCAUCAUUGGGUUAUCAGCCUCCAGCUCCAGAGUACUUCAUGAC